GCUCCCUCCACCUUUCCUUGUCCUCCCCUUUCUCCCUUCACUCUCACGCUCCCUCCACCUUUCCUUGUCCUCUGCUCCUUCCACUCACCAUCUGCUCCCACACGCUCCCUACCUCAUUUCCUAAACCCGAAUCUAAACCUUAUAAAGAGGUUGGUCUUGAAGGUUUUCGGGGGGACGACAUUCAACAUUUUUUUAUCUUUAAUCACUACUCUAAAUCUGGAAUUCGUUCGAACUCUGUUCUAUUUCAAUUCUUUGGCAGCCACUUUAAACGUUCCUAAUUAUUUUUUUACAUAUUUCAAUCGCUAUACUUGGGAACACCCAUUUGAAAAUUAAGUCGUGUUGCUCUUUCGGCUCGUUACUUUAAGAUCGAGCGUAGAUUCGACGCCGACGACCCCAUUCACUGCACCAUAAAAAGGUAUGGAUUUGCAUUGGAGUACAAUGAAUGACGAAGAUCAAUGACAUCACAAAAACGGAGCUGAGAUUUAGACAUAGGAAAUUGUGUUCACUUCAUUUAGAUUAGGAAACACUUUAUGUUGUAUUCAUUUGACAUGUAAUAAACGUUACAUUACUUUUGUACUUUAUUGUUGGGGAAAUAGAAUUUGUUUAAUUAAUCAAAGCAACGGGAUGACAUAUUA